AUUCUCAUUGCUUUCUCAUAAAAUUUAGGCAGCCUCGUCUGAGACUGAAAAACGCGAGCAAACCCAAAGCAUCACUUUGUAUUGCACAUAAGGCCUCAGCCCUUUCCUCGCUCAGCAGAGUCUGUGGGGAGGGGGCGGGGACGCUCUACUGAUAAUACCAGCUUUAACUACUGGAGUUUCCCUUUGAACAAAUAUUCAAUUUAACUGGAGUUAAUUUACCAUAAAAGACAUUCCUCUUGGCACGAAUGCACUCACGUCCUUGAACACACCUCUUUGAGUGCCUGGACUCUCACAGAAGCCAUUAUUUGGGAUCUCUUUAAAAAUCCAGUUCUCUCUCUCUCUCUCUCUCUCUCUCUCUCUCUCUCUCUCUUUCUCUCUCCCUCCCCUCUCUCCUCUCUCUCUUUCUCUCUCUCUGUCUCUCUCAGUCUCUCUCUCUCUCUCUCUCUCUCUCUCUCUCUCUCUCUCUCUCUCUCUCUCUCCUGUCUCCCCUCCUCUGUCUCUCCCUCCCCACCACACUACCCCCAGUGAAAUCCUGGCACCCAGAGAGCACUCUUUUCAGCCAGAGCCCAGAACCAGCCGUUGUCCCUUGGCAAAAGAGGCCCAGUGCUGAGCUAUGGGCAAAUGUCUCCAGACAGUGCUACCCCUCCUCCCCUUAUUACUUUCCUUUCCCUACAGAAACCAUUUCCUUUUGCCAACAAAACUAGGUUGCAUCCAAAAGUUUCUCCCAAGCUUAAAAAAGAGAAAAGGGGAGAGAGAAAUUGACAACCAUUACACAGAAGAAUUCACAAAAGCUGCAAGCAACACCAGGGGCAAAGAAGCAGCGUCAGAUCCAGGUUGUUCAUUGCCCAAGGAUAUCUGAUGCAUGUGUAGCUGAGAUCGGAACUGAUUCCCAAGGAGAAUGGACAGCUCUAUUUACAGUUCACAGAAAAGUGGCACAUGGAAGCUGGAAUGCCUCAAAAAGGGAAAAGAUGAAACACAUUCCCAUAUCCAUGUCCUCUAAGUGUAGAGGGUUUCAGUGAAAACAGAGAAGCAGAGAGAAGAGCAAGAUGAUCAGAAGUGCUGAGGAGGAACCUGAGGGAUUUUGCCCCUUCUGACAUCUGCUGCAAUAUCAAUCCUCUUCAUGGUUGUUAAGGCCAUGAUAAAACAGGAAAACAGCACCGGAAGCCAGGGAAGCGUGGACAUGGAAUGAUCUGCAGAGCAGACAAUAAGACCGGUGACAAGAGGAAGUCAGAGGUACUUUUAUGUGUUCAUUCACCUAACAAAUGGAACUGGGGGCCCUCACUGUGGCUCACAGCCUUGUUCAGUUCUGGUUCAACUUCAGAGGAAGACAAAGAGCGAGAAGGAGAGAAGGACUCAGCACCGGCAGGCCAGGCCAGGUGCUCCUAGCCAGUGAGUGCUUCCAGAUGCACUGAUAGGUCCUCCACAACACUGCUUGAGAAACAUAGCUUAGCCAGCUAGCCAGAGACUGCUUUGGAGGCAAAAAGAAAAGGAAAAAAGAAAAGAAAAUCAGUCAUUUUGACAAGGUCAAAAUACCAAGAAAACAGCAUUCCCAAUUGGGAAGUUGUGGGUCAGCACCAGAGUUCAUUGAACAUGCUCUUUGCUUCUCCUUUCUUAGGCUUUCAGCUGCAAGGAGAUUCUAUGUCCUGGAGGACUGUUAACACUGUAUGCAUCUGUGUGUCUGAGUGUGUGCACAUGCUGUGUGUGUGUGUGUGUGUGUGUGUGUGUGUGUGUGUAAGUGGUUGGAUACUGGGUAAGGUUGAUUUUAAAUAAGGGUCUUCUCUCUCUUGACUUUUGAAAAGUUUGGAAACUACAGGAGAGAAUGAAAUAAUAGAGAUAAAUAAGUCAUCUAAGAACAAACUAUCCCAGGCAGUGUAUGGGCAUAGAAGGAAUAGGCUUCCAUUUGGCCCAAAAUAUCAGAAUUUGGGGGUCAGAAAGCAACAAUGUUUCCCUUAGGAAUUGAAAUUAGGGUACUUUGGAAGACUUGGCCUUUGGUUGCACUUUUGGAAAGUUUGAGGAGAAAGCCAGUGAAGUGAGGACAGGGAAAGGAGAAAUGAAGGGAAGGACCAAAAAGGGGGAAGAGAUUCAUUUACUGUACACCAGCUGCGUGUCACAUUUUGCUCUUGGCUUUUCCAUGUAUACAAAUGCCACUUAAUCUUUUGAACACCACUGUUUGAGAGGGGUAGGCCUGCCCAUAUUUGCCUAGCCAGUAAGCAGCUGGUUGUAUUCCAGUCACAUGUGUCUGAUUUCAAACUUCAUUUUCUUCUGAGUUGUCAUCACCAACUAAAUACACAUGCAUAAACAAGUAUAUAUGUAUAUGUGUGAUUUAAAAAAUGUUAGUGGUGCUGGGGAAACUUCUAUAUUGUAGAUAUGGAUCUUCUAUAUUGUAGAUAUGGACUGUAACACUGAACUCCGUGUCCAGCCCCAUACAAUGCGAGUGUUACUAUUUCCCAUGUCUCCAAG
rnacentral:lncRNA from 1 species